rnacentral:rRNA from 1 species
UACAGAGGUCUCGAGCGUUAGGCGGAAUCACUGGGCUUAAAGCGUGUGUAGGUGGAUCGUUAAGUACCUUGUGAAAUCCCACGGCUUAACCGUGGAACUGCUUGGUAUACUGGCGGUCUUGAGUCAGCUAGGGGCUACCGGAACAAAUGGUGGAGCGGUGAAAUGCGUAGAUAUCAUUUGGAACGCCAAUGGGUGAAAACAGGUAGCUGGGGGCUGUACUGAC